UACGGGGGGGGGCAAGCGUUUGUUCGGAAUUACUGGGCGUAAAAGGGCUCGUAGGCGGCCAACUAAGUCGGAUGUGAAAAUCCCCCAGGCUCAACUUGGGAACUGCAUCCGAUACUGGAUGGCUUGAAUCCGGGAGAGGGAUGCAGAAUUCCACGUGUAGCGGUGAAAUGCGUAGAUAUGUGGAGGAACACCUGUGGCGAAGGCGCCUUGCUGGCCAAUUUCUGACGCUGAGGCGCGAAAAGCGUGGGGAGCAAACAGGG
rnacentral:rRNA from 1 species